rnacentral:rRNA from 1 species
CCUACGGGAGGCAGCAGUGGGGAAUAUUGGGCAAUGGGCGCAAGCCUGACCCAGCAACGCCGCGUGAAUGAAGAAGGCUUUCGGGUCGUAAACCUCUUUUCUGAGGGACGAAGAAAGCGACGGUACCUCAAGAAUAAGCCACGGAUAACUACGCACCAGCAGCCGCGGUACUACGUAGGUGGCAAGCGUUAUCCGGAUUUAUUGGGAGAAAAGGGCGGGGAGGCGGGAAAGCAAGUCAGAGUUGAAACCUCAGGGCACAACCCUGGGCCUGCAUUUGAAACUGUUUUGCUUGAGUGCUGGAGAGGCAAUCGGAAUUCCGUGUGUAGCGGUGAAAUGCGUAGAUAUACGGAGGAACACCAGUGGCGAAGGCGGAUUGCUGGACAGUAACUGACGCUGAGGCGCGAAAGCGUGGGGAGCAAACAGGAUUAGAUACCCCAGUAGUC